UACGUAGGGGGCAAGCGUUGUCCGGAUUUAUUGGGCGUAAAGAGCGUGUAGGCGGCUAGGUAGGUCCGUUGUGAAAACUCGAGGCUCAACCUCGAGCUGUCGAUGGAAACCAUCUGGCUAGAGUCCGGAAGAGGAGAGUGGAAUUCCUGGUGUAGCGGUGAAAUGCGCAGAUAUCAGGAGGAACACCGGGGCGAAGGCGGAUCUCUGGGCCAUUACUGACGCUGAGGAGCGAAAGCGUGGGGAGCGAACAGG
rnacentral:rRNA from 1 species